UCCUGGCUCAGGAUGAACGCUAGCGACAGGCUAACACAUGCAAGUCGAGGGGCAGCAUAGAAGUAGCAAUACUCGGUGGCGACCGGCGCACGGGUGAGUAACGCGUAUGCAACCUACCUAUCAGAGGGGAAUAACCCGGCGAAAGUCGGACUAAUACCGCAUAAAACAGGGGCACCGCAUGGUGAUAUUUGUUAAAGAAAUUCGCUGAUAGAUGGGCAUGCGUUCCAUUAGGUAGUUGGUGAGGUAACGGCUCACCAAGCCGACGAUGGAUAGGGGAACUGAGAGGUUGGUCCCCCACACUGGUACUGAGACACGGACCAGACUCCUACGGGAGGCAGCAGUGAGGAAUAUUGGUCAAUGGGCGGGAGCCUGAACCAGCCAAGUCGCGUGAAGGAAGAAGGAUCUAUGGUUCGUAAACUUCUUUUGCAGGGGAAUAAAGUGCAGGACGUGUCCUGUUUUGUAUGUACCCUGAGAAUAAGGAUCGGCUAACUCCGUGCCAGCCGCCGC
rnacentral:rRNA from 1 species